rnacentral:lncRNA from 1 species
AGAAACAAGAGAGCAAGAAAAGAGAGUGAAGGAGAGUAAUCCCACAAAGUUGUAAGGUAUUUGUGAGAUAAUAAGUGAGGUGUUUUCUCCCAGUAAUAGAGAGAUUUCAGUUGUUCUACUAUUAGUAGAGAGAGGUUGUAAUUCUCACAUUACUUAGUAAAAUCCUUCUGUACUUGCUCGUGGACGUAGCCAAAUUGGAUGAACCACGUAAAUUCUUGUGUGUCUAAUUUCUCAUUUUAUCCUAUUCUUUAUUUUUUUUCUUAUCGGGUUUGCAUGCCAGUAUCCUAACAAAAAUGGAUUUGUACGGCCUAAUCCGAAAUUCUAACCCAGGUCUGAUGUUGUAAGGAAAUUUCUUUUGUCAGACAAGGAGGACUUAUUCCGAUCAUGACUUUCAUUUUGCUUUGGACGUUGGAUUCCCAGCGUAGAGAAGUGAUAUCCAAUCAAGGACAUGGAGAAUUAUUAAAGCUAUAGCAUUGUGCUCGCUACCUGGUACGCUACAGAAUUAUUCCCAGCUAAACGAAUUAAUGCGUGAUUAAUCCUCUCCUCUAUUCAUUGAACAAAAGCUGAACCCUUGAUUAUAUAUUAUACCUCCUCCUUCAUACCACAUUACUUCAAGCAUAGAAUUGGAUUCCCUGGUAUUUUCGUCCCCAGCAGCAAAUAUUAUUAGAAAAAAGAAAUGUGAUUAUAGGCAGCCACAGAAGAGAACAUUUUGAAUCAAUCACUCCUCUAAAUACUAAACAUCCUCACCAUAAUUCCCAUCUCAACAAGUUUUUGAGACCUCUCUCUAUCACUCUCCUCGUUGAUGUCAUCAUCAUCCUAUUUAAAGCCUUCAAUUUUUUCACUGCCUAACUUGAAAAAAUCUGUGAACCUUCUCUGUGUUGAUAUUGAUUUUACUAUAUUUCUCACCAGCUUAUGAUUUCCUCUAGAGUUAAAAAAAAUAAAUAUUCUGAACUCCAUCAAUCGUUUCCUGCACUUCCUUUAGCAUCCCUUCUUUACACUCUUCUUUUUCUUUCAUGGUAUCUCCAGGAUUCUAGCAACGAAGCUAGUAAAAAUCUCUGUUUUCCCAUCUAUGUCUUUCCCGUGUACGAAACCUGCAACAUUUGCACUUCAUCAACAAGAACACGAGGUGAUCUGCCAAUGAUAAUAAAUAUACCUGAGGUCGCG